GGGUUGUGAGGUUAAGCGACUAAGCGUACACGGUGGAUGCCCUGGCAGUCAGAGGCGAUGAAGGACGUGCUAAUCUGCGAAAAGCGUCGGUAAGGUGAUAUGAACCGUUAUAACCGGCGAUGUCCGAAUGGGGAAACCCAGUGCAAUUCGUUGCACUAUCGUUAACUGAAUACAUAGGUUAACGAGGCGAACCGGGGGAACUGAAACAUCUAAGUACCCCGAGGAAAAGAAAUCAACCGAGAUUCCCCCAGUAGCGGCGAGCGAACGGGGAGCAGCCCAGAGUCUGAAUCAGCUUGUGUGUUAGUGGAACGGUCUGGAAAGUCCGACGGUACAGGGUGAUAGUCCCGUACACCAAAAUGCACAGGUUGUGAACUCGAAGAGUAGGGCGGGACACGUGGUAUCCUGUCUGAAUAUGGGGGGACCAUCCUCCAAGGCUAAAUACUCCUGACUGACCGAUAGUGAACCAGUACCGUGAGGGAAAGGCGAAAAGAACCCCGGCGAGGGGAGUGAAAAAGAACCUGAAACCGUGUACGUACAAGCAGUGGGAGCACCUUCGGGUGUGACUGCGUACCUUUUGUAUAAUGGGUCAGCGACUUAUAUUCUGUAGCAAGGUUAACCGUAUAGGGGAGCCGCAGGGAAACCGAGUCUUAACUGGGCGUUAAGUUGCAGGGUAUAGACCCGAAACCCGGUGAUCUAGCCAUGGGCAGGUUGAAGGUUGGGUAACACUAACUGGAGGACCGAACCGACUAAUGUUGAAAAAUUAGCGGAUGACUUGUGGCUGGGGGUGAAAGGCCAAUCAAACCGGGAGAUAGCUGGUUCUCCCCGAAAGCUAUUUAGGUAGCGCCUCGUGAAUUCAUCUUCGGGGGUAGAGCACUGUUUCGGCUAGGGGGUCAUCCCGACUUACCAACCCGAUGCAAACUACGAAUACCGAAGAAUGUUAUCACGGGAGACACACGGCGGGUGCUAACGUCCGUCGUGAAGAGGGAAACAACCCAGACCGCCAGCUAAGGUCCCAAAGUCAUGGUUAAGUGGGAAACGAUGUGGGAAGGCACAGACAGCCAGGAUGUUGGCUUAGAAGCAGCCAUCAUUUAAAGAAAGCGUAAUAGCUCACUGGUCGAGUCGGCCUGCGCGGAAGAUGUAACGGGGCUAAACCAUGCACCGAAGCUGCGGCAGCGACACUAUGUGUUGUUGGGUAGGGGAGCGUUCUGUAAGCCUGCGAAGGUGUGCUGUGAGGCAUGCUGGAGGUAUCAGAAGUGCGAAUGCUGACAUAAGUAACGAUAAAGCGGGUGAAAAGCCCGCUCGCCGGAAGACCAAGGGUUCCUGUCCAACGUUAAUCGGGGCAGGGUGAGUCGACCCCUAAGGCGAGGCCGAAAGGCGUAGUCGAUGGGAAACAGGUUAAUAUUCCUGUACUUGGUGUUACUGCGAAGGGGGGACGGAGAAGGCUAUGUUAGCCGGGCGACGGUUGUCCCGGUUUAAGCAUGUAGGCUGGUUAUCCAGGCAAAUCCGGAUAAUCAAGGCUGAGGUGUGAUGACGAGGCACUACGGUGCUGAAGUAACAAAUGCCCUGCUUCCAGGAAAAGCCUCUAAGCAUCAGGUAACAUCAAAUCGUACCCCAAACCGACACAGGUGGUCAGGUAGAGAAUACCAAGGCGCUUGAGAGAACUCGGGUGAAGGAACUAGGCAAAAUGGUGCCGUAACUUCGGGAGAAGGCACGCUGGUGUGUAGGUGAAGUCCCUGCGGAUGGAGCUGAGACCAGUCGAAGAUACCAGCUGGCUGCAACUGUUUAUUAAAAACACAGCACUGUGCAAACACGAAAGUGGACGUAUACGGUGUGACGCCUGCCCGGUGCCGGAAGGUUAAUUGAUGGGGUUAUCCGUAAGGAGAAGCUCUUGAUCGAAGCCCCGGUAAACGGCGGCCGUAACUAUAACGGUCCUAAGGUAGCGAAAUUCCUUGUCGGGUAAGUUCCGACCUGCACGAAUGGCGUAAUGAUGGCCAGGCUGUCUCCACCCGAGACUCAGUGAAAUUGAACUCGCUGUGAAGAUGCAGUGUACCCGCGGCAAGACGGAAAGACCCCGUGAACCUUUACUAUAGCUUGACACUGAACAUUGAGCCUUGAUGUGUAGGAUAGGUGGGAGGCUUUGAAGCGUGGACGCCAGUCUGCGUGGAGCCAACCUUGAAAUACCACCCUUUAAUGUUUGAUGUUCUAACGUUGGCCCCUGACCGGGGUUGCGGACAGUGUCUGGUGGGUAGUUUGACUGGGGCGGUCUCCUCCCAAAGCGUAACGGAGGAGCACGAAGGUUAGCUAAUCCUGGUCGGACAUCAGGAGGUUAGUGCAAUGGCAUAAGCUAGCUUGACUGCGAGCGUGACGGCGCGAGCAGGUGCGAAAGCAGGUCAUAGUGAUCCGGUGGUUCUGAAUGGAAGGGCCAUCGCUCAACGGAUAAAAGGUACUCCGGGGAUAACAGGCUGAUACCGCCCAAGAGUUCAUAUCGACGGCGGUGUUUGGCACCUCGAUGUCGGCUCAUCACAUCCUGGGGCUGAAGUAGGUCCCAAGGGUAUGGCUGUUCGCCAUUUAAAGUGGUACGCGAGCUGGGUUUAGAACGUCGUGAGACAGUUCGGUCCCUAUCUGCCGUGGGCGCUGGAGAAUUGAGGGGGGCUGCUCCUAGUACGAGAGGACCGGAGUGGACGCAUCACUGGUGUUCGGGUUGUCAUGCCAAUGGCACUGCCCGGUAGCUAAAUGCGGAAGAGAUAAGUGCUGAAAGCAUCUAAGCACGAAACUUGCCCCGAGAUGAGUUCUCCCUGAGACU
rnacentral:rRNA from 1 species